rnacentral:snoRNA from 1 species
UUGCACAGCGAACACCCAAGGAUGCUAACAUCAUGGCUGUCCCUGGUCUCUCAUGUCUGUGCUACAGUGACUCUGAUCUUUUCCUCUGCAUUAGGAGAGUUUCAGUCUCUCCUACAAUGUAUUCAGCUGAUCAGAACAAAC